UCUCCUUCUUUCCGCUCAUUGGCUUUUUCUUCCCUUUUACUUAAGAACUAGUUGCCUAUGCCUUUUAUAAUUAAAGAUCUUUAAAAUAAAUUUGAUGCUGUGCCAGUUACAGCUAGAUACAAUAUUUUUGUUUUAGACUUAGCGAAGGCGUCUCUAUGUUUUCAACCUCAAUAUAUUCAGAAUAUUGUCAUAACUUAGGGCACCAGAAAGUGUUUUCUAGUGUAGUUAAAAAUUUACUACCUCAUAUUUUUUUUAAGGUUUAUAUUCUCAAAUCAUUAUUCUGUUUAUCCUUUUGCAAUAUGUCUGAACUGUGUAUUACUGUAAUAUAUAUUCUCUUUAUAUUAGUUGAUAUCCAUGUAACUCAAGUCAUGUAUUUACAGCAGGGAAGAGUAGUGACAAGCUAGAUUUGUCCAUGUCAAUAUCAUUGCCUGAGCAUUAGUCUGAGUUUCAUAUGGCUGGAUAUGUGUUCGGGUGAACCAUGAGUCUGACUCUCGCUUCCGAGUAGUAGUAGUAAGACUUUUGGUCUAGAUUUCUCCGUAUUUAAGCUAGACUAGGUUGGGUUUUGUUAUCCUUCCAAUCAGAUGGCAUCUGGUUCAUGUUGAUGUUAACUUUUUAAUGAUGGAGAGGAUGUUAACAGGUCUUACAUGAGGGAGAGGAUGCUUUUCUUUUCCUUUCUUUUCUUUUGUCGAUGUUAACUUUUUAAUAUUGAAUGAUCAAUUCGUAGUCUGUGAUGUUUUAAUAUUUAAAUAUGAAGUUGGGAUUGAGGUCAGAAUUUGAAUGAUGAUUAAAUGAUAAGCUUGUAAUGGUUGAUAUUAUCGUGUAAUGGCUUACUAUGCUUUAUAGAUGUUUCUUCUUCUAUUUUUACAUACAUACAUAUGUAUAGAUACUUGUGUAUAUACAUGUAUGAAUAUAUAAACACACACACACACACACACACAGAGUCUAGACAUACAUACAUACAGACAUACAUAGUCUAUACACACAUAUAUACAUAGUCUCUCUCUCUCUCUCUCUAUAUAUAUAUAUAUAUAUAUAGGCUAUCCUAGCUGUAUCAUGUCCUAGUUUUUGAAGGUUUGAUAUAUUGGCAUAUCCAUAUACCCUAUCAUGCUUCCUAGCCAGUGGUUUGCCUUGGAUAUUGCUUAGUCAAGAUGUUGAUGGUGUUGUUAAUAUCUUCUUUGUUCUCCAUAAGGCUGCAAAUAAGGAGCAGAUAUUAUUGCUGAGGAGGGCGAGCAGUGACAAAAUUGUUCUUGAUCUGGGCACGAAGACAAAAUCUUCUCGAUUCAUUUAUUUCCUACUUUGUCUUCUUUGACAUUUUUCCCUUUAAACUAAUCCCAUUUUUCUCUUUAGAUAAAUAUCAUAAUUACUUUUUUUUUUUUUUUUU